UCCCGAACGCGUAGACGAAGACAGUUCGUCGAUCCGUCGAGCGAGUGCGGAGAUAUAGCCGAUUUGGGUGCUCUAGGGUUCGUUUUGACCCAAGGUGUUGAAGCGGCGCACGUGGACCGCGACGCCGAGUUUCUUAGCUUUACGGUACUACCACGAGGUGGGUGGUGACCAUCCCGACGCAAUCGGGCUACCUUCUAUGUCUAAGUUUUAAAAGUUGAUCUAAUUGCAUAUUGUACAUAUUCAUAUAGGGCUAGAGAUGGACUGUUGCUUAUAAUUGCAUGUUAGUAGCUUAAUGUAUCUUGCUUAGUUGGUUCAUGAUCUAGUAUGCAUGAUGAUUAUAUGAUGAAAACUCUAUGAUAAAAACCUAGACCCUAUGUGAGAUGAUUAAUACUUAUGUUGCUAAAGAACUAGUAUGAUGUAACUAGUGUUAAUGAUGAGUCUAAAUGACGAGUGGCAUCUAGUUAGAAAACUAUGAUGAGUGGCAUAUGAUUGUUGAUGACCUUGAUAUGAGAACAUUAGUGUAGUUGAGACACUAUGAGAUUGGGUACAAGUAUACCUUGAUUCCAUCAUGAGAUUACCCUUAGAGGGUAGGUUGCUGCUGUUCGUGAGUUGAUCGUGCUCACAUAGCCUGUCUGCGCUUGGAGGGGUCGCUCCCCACAAGCUGUGCACUCCGGAGGUUGGUCACUAGAGAGACAGUCAGUGUGCUGUCUGGACGGUCAGUGUGCUGUCCGCAGGCGGUCUCGGGGAGUAGUUCAGUGAGACUUUCCCUAUGAGAUUUACACGUGAGUGAUGCUUGUGAACCACGAGUUUACCUCGAGAUUUGGUUACCUAUUGAGUCAUGCUCAUUAUUAUUGCUCAUGAUAGCUAGCUUUCAUAGUUGUUGUUGUUCAUAGUUGCUUACUUACCCAGUUUUACUUAUUGUUCAUGCAUCCAUGAUAUCAGAUUGAGGCAUAGCUUGAUAGACCUGUUUUACAUACCCGCUUUCAGUUCAGUUUAGCUUUAUAUAUACUGCAUAUAUAUAUCUCUCUAUGCCUGCUUAAGACCUAAUGGGUAGAUCGGCAGAGUCGGCGGCCGAACCCACUGGGAACUAUUCGUAGUUCUCACACCCCACGUUGCAGGUGCUAGUUCGAGCGUCCCGACCGAGCGGGAGGAUCGCGGCAAGGGCUUUGGGCCCUAACGGUAUCAGUUGAUAGCUUACUCUCCUACUUGCACUAGUUCGCCCUGCUUUUACAUUUUGAGAGUAGAUGUUGUAUAGGGUGAGGUUUUGGAGAGCAUAUGAUGUAUUUACAUUUUAGAAAAAAAUGCAAGUUGUAUUAAAUGAUUAAAGUUUUAAUGAUAUCGAAAGAGGUUAAAUGUCUCAAAUAGUUAAGUUUCUCUCUUUUGAAUACUUGUAUACCGUUUACUUGUAUCGCUUGCUCUUGUUGAUAAAUAGCACUGUUUGUACUCUCGAUUAUCGUUGUUUGAUUGUGUAUGAAUUCAAGUUGUAUUCCUGGGGACUUGUUGUACACAAUCCGGUUGGUUAGCCUUGGGCGGACAGGAGAGACUCUGUCCGUUCGGCAUCACGCACGCCGCCCUCGAAAUGGACCAAAUUGGUACCAUUUUCGGGCCGUGCGGUUGGGGCGUGAGAGUUGUGGUAUCAGAGCAAGUUAAGAGCAAGCAAAAGAGAGAGUCUAGGAUGACCUAGGAGACUCUAGGUUGGUUAACCCUAAGGUUAUAGGUGCGUGAGUGCGACGUGAACCUAUGACGCGGCGGAAGCUAAAUGAUUGUGUUUGGAGUUGGUGUUGUUACUCUAGUUAUGGCUAGAGAUGAUUCAAGUGGUAUUAAUUUUUGGCUUGAGGUGAUUGUGUUGGCGGCCGACAACACGAUGCCGAAAGUCAAGAACUAAGACAUUUGCAAGCUACCGCCUGAUUGAUGUCGUUUAAUCGUUAUGUUUCGCAAUCACGACGAUGUUGUUGGGUUAAGUAAUUAACCAACUGUUUGCGUUUCAGAAGCUAUGGCACCAAAGAGACGCUACGUGCGUAGGACCGCUCCGGUACCACCUCGAGAGGUGCCCGGGCCAGCCGUACCUCCAGUGGCGCCAGGGCCAGCUGGGCCUACUAAGGUGCAGGAGUUGCGAGCGCAGGUUGCGGCGCUCACAGGACGGUUCGAUAGGCUCCAGGAGCUAUUGGAGCAGCAGGCUGUGGCGGCGGCUGCGGCGGCAGGUCUAGGCCGCGGUCCGCCUGCACUUUCGGCUCGUGCCCCUGAUGCCGCCGAGGGUGCGGGUGGCGUUUCGGUUCCGGUGGCGGCGCAACCCCCACCGGUGGAUAUUCCUCUGGCUAGUUCGAGUUCUCCCACCCCCGCAAUGGCGGCUGAGGAGGCGGAGCGUGAGCGCGGCUACGUGGCGCUCACGAGGUUCACGAAGUUUCGCCCGCCUACCUUCGACGGAGAGGUGGUGGAUCCAGCGACGGUGGAGUCUUGGCUGACAGCUAUGGAGACUCUAUUUGAGGACAUCUUCACCUUGGAGAAGGACAUGGUGAACUUGACCGCGCAUUGCUUCGAGAAGCGGGCCAGGACUUGGUGGAGGAGGGUCAAGCAGGACCGAUCCCCGGAGCUUCCCCCGAUCGAUUGGGCGGAGUUCCGCAAGCUAAUGUUCGCCGAGUACUUCCCCGACAGUGAUAAGAGAAAGAUGCGGGAAGAUUUUCGCAAGCUCAAGCAAGGCAACCGCACGGUUCGGGAGUACGAGCGGGAGUUCACCCAUCUCCUGAGUUGUGUCCCGGACGUGGCGACGACAGAGCAGGACCGGGCGGAUUGUUUUGUUCGAGGACUCCGGCCCGGAGUAUUCAAGUUGGUGCAUGCCUUCAAGUUCCACACUUUGGCGGGGGCAUUAGACCGCGCAUUAUGGGUCGAGCACGGGAACGCUUGCGAGCGUGAGGACCGUGAGGCGUUCGACAAGGAUAAAGGCAAGAAGAGGCAGGGCGGUGGCUCGGGGGGACAGUCUAGCUCCAAGAGGCCCCCGAAGUAUCCACGCUCUCAGCCUAAGGGUCGUGGUGCAGUGCGAUGCGUCUUUUGCGGCGGGGACCACCGACCGGGUGUAUGUGAGCAUCGCCGUGGGAGGUGCUUCAAGUGCGGGCAAGCGGGGCAUGUCAUCCGCGACUGUCCUCAGGGAGGAGCUUUGCCCGCUAUGUCGACUGCAUCGGCCCCGGCGGUUCCAGCUCGCUAUGCUCUGCCCCCUCCUGCAGUAUCUACUGGGCGAGCGGCGGCGCCACGCCAACCAGAGCCUGCACGAUCUGCGCCGAGCGGGAGGAUGUAUGCUGCACCCGUGCACAUUGAGGAGCCUUCUGAGGCCGGCGAGCGCAACGUUGUGGCAGGUAUAAUUUUGGUUAAAGGUGUUCGAGCUAGAGCUUUGUUUGAUACCGGCGCAUCACACUCAUUUAUUAGUCGAUCAUUCGCACAAGCACAUGAUAUCGAGUAUCGUCUAGGGGAGCACGUUUGGCAUGUUGAGGGCCCCGGGCGAUCAUUUAUGGUUAGGAAACGAUGUUUGGCAUGUCCAGUGCAAGUGAAUGACUGGGUUAUGCCGGUCGACUUGUUGGUGCUCAAAAGGUUGAAGGAAUUUGACAUCAUAUUGGGCAUGGAUUGGCUCUCGAAGUACUAUGUGUCGAUCGACUGCCCGACUCGAGUUGUCACAUUUCGGGAGCCGGGUCAAGAAGAGUUCACCUAUCGAGCUUGCAAGAGCUCGUGCUUCGCCGCGACGGUAUCGGCGACUAGAGCAAGGAAGUUGGUGAACAGCGGUUGCACAGCCUAUUUGGCGACCGUUGUGGAGAUUGAUCGAGUGGUUCCGACCCUCGAGGAGUUGGCGGUUGUGCGAGAGUUCCCUGAUGUGUUUCCCGCGGAGCUACCGGGUAUGCCUCCAGACCGGGAGAUCGAGUUCAUGAUUGACUUGGUUCCCGGGACGGCACCGAUUUCUAAGGCCCCGUAUCGCAUGGCGCCGGCCGAGCUAAGGGAGUUGAGAGAUCAAUUACAGGAUCUUCUCGACAAGGAAUUCAUUAGGCCGAGCGUUUCGCCGUGGGGUGCCCCGGUAUUAUUUGUGCGCAAGAAAGAUGGAUCUUUUCGACUCUGCGUGGAUUACCGCGAGUUGAACAAGGUCACGGUGAAGAACAAGUACCCGCUACCCCGUAUUGAUGACUUGUUUGAUCAGUUGCAAGGGUCGCGAGUGUAUUCUAAGAUCGACCUUCAGUCCGGCUAUCACCAGUUAAAGAUCAAGCCGGAAGAUGUUCAAAAGACGGCGUUUCGCACGCGUUAUGGACACUACAAAUUCACGGUGAUGCCGUUUGGGCUCACGAAUGCCCCGGCAGCGUUCAUGAGCUUGAUGAACCGAGUGUUCCAGGAAUGCUUGGACCGAUUUGUCGUGGUCUUCAUAAACGACAUUUUGAUGUAUUCGCGUAGCGACGAGAAGCACGCGGAGCAUUUGCGCACAGUACUUCGAAUCCUUCGGGAGAAGAAGUUGUACGCAAAGCUGAAGAAAUGCGACUUUUGGCUUCGAGAGGUCGCGUUUCUCGGGCAUUUUAUUUCCAAGGGUGGUGUUUUAGUUGACCCGAGGAAAGUGGAGGCUAUUGAGAAUUGGCCGCGCCCGACGAAUGUUACCGAGGUCCGUAGUUUUGUGGGCCUAGCCGGUUAUUAUCGACGGUUUGUGGAGGGGUUCUCAAAGAUUGUGACUCCACUUACCCGCUUGACACAAAAGGGCACCAAGUUUGUUUGGAGCGACGAGUGUGACCGGAGUUUUAAAGAGUUGAAGCAAAGGUUAACUUCUCCGGUACUCGCCUUACCGGUGCAGGGGCAGGACUACGUCGUCUACAGUGAUGCUUCUUAUCUGGGCUUGGGGUGUGUGCUGAUGCAGGGCGGGAAGGUUAUCGCUUAUGCAUCCCGUCAGCUGAAGAGUUAUGAAAAGAACUACCCCAUUCAUGAUCUAGAGUUGGCGGCGGUGAUUUUUGCCUUAAAGCUUUGGAGACAUUAUUUAUAUGGUGCUCAUUGCGAGAUCUACACCGACCAUAAGAGCUUGAAGUAUCUGUUCAUACAGAAAGAGCUCAAUAUGCGUCAGCGGUGGUGGUUGGAGCUAUUGAAGAAUUAUGAUGUUGAUAUCCUUUACCACCCCGGGAAGGCAAAUGUGGUCGCGGAUGCGCUGAGUAGGAAGACGGCGAAGAACCUCGCUUUUGAUGUUACCCAGCAAACAUCCCUAUGGCUGGAUAUGGAGCGAUUGGACCUUGAAGUGGUCGCUCCUGAGGUCCCGACUCAGUUGAUGGCACUCGUUGUCCAACCGACCUUGUUGGAAAGGAUCAAGGAUCUGCAACCUGCGGACCCAGAACUCCAAAAGGUACGGCGAAAUAUCGAGGAAGGUCAUGGCGGCGAGUUCAAUGUAGACGCCAAUGGUACGCUUCGGUUUCGGAACCGAAGGUGUGUACCUGCUGAUGAGGAGCUUCGCAAGCUUAUACUCUAGGAGUCGCAUUGGUCCCUGUAUGCUAAUCACCCGGGCGGCACCAAGAUGUAUCAAGGACUAAAAAUGCUCUACUGGUGGCCAGGAAUGAAGGGCGACAUCGGACGCUGUGUGGCGAAGUGCCUAACAUGCCAACAAGUGAAGGCUGAACAUCGAUUUCCAGCGGGAAAGCUUCACAGCCUACCAAUCCCGUUUGAAAAUGGGAAGAUAUAUCGAUGGACUUCGUGGUCGGCUUAUCUCGCUCAAAGGGCGGCCACGAUGCAAUUUGGGUAAUUGUGGACCGAUUGACGAAGUCGGCUCACUUCUUGCCGAUCCAUACCACGUGGUCGGGUGACAAGUUAGCGCAGGUAUACCUUGACGAGAUAGUGAGACUGCAUGGGGUGCCGAAAUCGAUCGCGUCGGAUCAUGACCCCCGGUUCACUUCACAUUUCUGGAAGAGCCUGCAGGAAGCCCUUGGCACACGGCUCGACUUUAGCACCGCGUUUCAUCCUCAGACCGAUGAACAAACAGAGAGAACUAUUCAAACUCUGGAGGACAUGUUGCGAGUGUGUGUCAUCGACUAUAAAGGAAGUUGGUGUGACCACCUACCGAUGGCCGAAUUCGCCUACAAUAAUAGUUAUAAUGCUAGUGUGGAGAUGGCACCGUUUGAGGCCCUCUAUGGGCGAACGUGUCGAUCUCCUAUACACUGGAGCGAUGUAGAUGAGCGUGCGGAGUUCGGCCCAGAUGUGUUGCGAGAAGCGGAAGAAAAAGUCCGCCUUGCUAGCAAAAGAUUGCUCACGGCGCAGUCGAGACAGCAAAGCUAUGCGGAUAAACGCCGGCGAGAUAUAGAGUACGCGAUGGGUGACCGCGUAUUUCUGAAGUUUUCACCGAUGCGAGGUGUGAAGCGGUUUGGGGUGCGAGGAAAGCUAAGCCCUCGUUAUAUUGGCCCCUGCGAGAUCUUGGAGCGAAUUGGGACGGUGGCGUACCGACUUGCAUUGCCCCCGAAGCUUGUGGGUGUGCACAAUGUUUUCCACGUCUCCAACCUCCGCAAGUAUAUUCACGACCCCGAACAUGCGAUGCUAUAUGAGCCGCCGGAACUUCAAGAUGAUAUGAGCUAUGAAGAGUUUCCGGUAGAGAUUUUGGCUCGAGAGGUGCGUAAGCUAAGGAAUCGAAAAAUUCCCUAUGUUAAAGUCCGGUGGAGCAAUCAUGACGAUCGUGAAGCCACUUGGGAGCUCGAGGACCAGAUGAAAGCGAAUCAUCCUCACUUGUUUAAGAAUUGAGGUAAGAGUUUAAGUUCGAUUUACGAGUUAGUUGUUUCGAGGACGAAACUCCUUUUAAGGGGUGGAGAAUGUGAGAUAUCAAGAUUCGACGAUAUUGGCUAACUUUGGCCAAAUCGGCCAAAGUGGGCGAUUGAGCGGUUUGGACAAGUUCCAUUCGGCAUUCCAACAAGUUUGGAAGAGCAAAAAUGAGUUCUAAAAGUGUUGGAAUGAUUUUGACAGCGAUCGGCGCGUAGUGGAGCCGAAACAGAGUGAAAACAGCAUUCUGGAGCUGCUGUACUGGUACAAGGGUGAUGGCUGUACCGGUACAGCCAUCGCAGCUCUCGGGUUUUGGAGGGCUCCAGGUGCUGUACCGGUACAAGGGGCUUGUACCGGUACAAACCCGAUGAAACCAAGACCUGAGCUCUCGGGUUUGCUCUCGGUUUUGGCUGUCUGCCAGGCCUUGUACCGGUACAAGAACCCGUGUACCGGUACAAGGAGCCCGAAACAGCAGGGUGACUUUGGAAAAUAGAAAAGUUAAGGCUCUUUUGAUAUUUUACAAUAUAGGUCUUAUACACAUCUCUCAGCCACUCCAUCUCACACUUAGCCUCUGCUCUCUCCCUCCUCUCAUAGCAUUGUCUCUUUCUCUUCGUCCUACACCUGUGAAAAGAAGAAAAAAAGAAGAAGAAAGAAAUGAGAGAAAGAAGGAGAAAGGAAGAAGGAAAAGGAUGAGAAGAUCAAGAAAAGAAACAACCUCUCUCCCUCCACUUUUCAAGCUAGGUGUCACGGCCACAAAGAUUUUCUCCGCGAUUUCGCUUUGCACAUCACCCAAACUCCAAGCGGACAUCUGACGGAGGUUUUGGCUUGGAACUUUCUUGAAGCUCUACGCGAUCUCGAGACUGAAGUGCGGAUACGGAGGUCAAGAGUCCCUUAGAGUUCUAGGUAGUCAAUAAAUGUAUGACUCUUCGAGUCUCGAGCUAUUUAUUAAGACUCUUGGGAGACCGCGUGGCCACCCCUUUUGGCUAGUAGUAUUGUGCCACUUGCACCUUUUCAAUUGUAUUGUGGCGGCGAGUGGCCUAUAUAUAGUGUGCCCUCCACCCUCUCAUUUCAGAAUUCACUAUUAUAUUCUCAACCUUAAAGUAAUUAGAAGAGCUUUCUUCUUAUAUCUCUCUUGUACUUAGUCUAGGCGAGUGAGGUCCUAACUUAGCAAGUAGAGAGGCAGGCUUGCUCACUUCGCGGAGAGCGAGGCGGCGCACAUUUUGCGAGCAAAAUUCGUUAGUCGCGUGACAGUUGGUAUCAAGCCGUUCGAGAAGGAGCCAUGUCGUCAUUAAGCCGCUGCGCGACGUUGGGGUGAUGCCUCCAAGCAACCUCCAAGCGGGGCAAGGUAAGGACACGCGAUAUCACGAAGAUUCCGCGUCGGUCGAGGACCGCCUUGCACUGUUGGAAGACAUUCUAUCGAAGUGGAGGAAAGGUACACCGAGAUGGCCGAUACCUUUAACGCCUUCAAUGAUUGAUGUCGCAGUAUAGGAGGAGAGCGUCGCCACUUCCAUGGCGACCUUUCGAGGCGAGCUCGAGAAAUCCAGGACAAUAUCACCCGUCGUGAUGACGAGCGGAAGAACUUGAUCGAGGAAGCUCAGUCACUCGAGUCGACGAGGUCGAGGACCUCAAGACAGAGUGACUAUCCUUGAGAAGGGGGCGUGGCUUGAGGCGGUGAAACGCAGAAGAGUACACCCCAAAGGUCCCGCGUCCCUGAACCCCAAUGCUUCAAGGGUUCCGCGGCACGAGAAGAGAUAGACAACUCCUUUGGCACAUGGAGCGCUAUCUCAAGCGCUGCGUCGAGGACGAGGAGGACAGGUCCAGACCGCUUCCAUGUACACUCACCGACGACCGCGAUGUUGUGGUUGCGUCAGCGUUCUGUAGAGGCUGAAAAGGGCCAAUGCAAACUGGAUACUUGAGGAACUUCGUGCGCGAACUGAAGCACAGUUCUACCCUGAGCACGUCGAAUACUGGCCGAGGCAAGCUUCGACGCUCAAACAUACAGGAUCCUCUCAAAGUAUGUCAAGAGUACUCCAAACUGAUGCUUGGCCAUCACCAGCAUGGCCGAGGAGGAUCGGCUAUUCUUCUCCUCAUGAUCGGUCUCCAACCGUGGCUAACAAGGAGCUCGUGCGAGAGACGUCCAACGACAUGACUCCGCUAUCCGCAAAGCGGAGAAGCUGCUGGAGUAUGACAAGCGGACCUUUCCUCGUGGCAACCAUCCAAGCGGGCAAGCGAAAGGGUGGGGAGACCGCCGCGAGCAGCGAUCACAAGGGCCAAGAGCGAAGAGGCCCUCCGCAGAAGAAGAAGAUCUCUUGCUAUGUUCUGCGGGGUGAUCACCGGGCGAGAGAUUGCCAAAGAAGAAGACCGUCAACGCACCAUCACAAAUGAGGAAGCGAGGAACAAGCGGAGACCAAAGAUGGGCGCGCUACGACUCGUCAGCGCGAUCCAGGGGCAGGCGACCCAGCAAACCGCUCAAGAAGGAGCUCUUGUUCGUGACGUGAACCCCAACGGGAGGGCCACUCGAGCGCUCAUGGACACGAGAGCGACCCACAACUUCAUCACCGAGUCUGAGGCCAAACGGCUGGGCCUCACACUCGAGAAGGACACGAGCAAGAUCAAGGCUGUCAACUCGGUGGCACAGCCUGUCGUGGGAGUAGCCAAAGGGGUGACGAUCGCUGUAGGACCCUGGUCGGGUACAGCGAACUUCACCGCCGCGACCAUCGACGACUUCAAAGUCAUUCUCGGCAUCGACUUUCUCGCUUCAUCGAAAGCGGUCCCGAUGCCGCAUCUCGGGGCCUUGAGCAUCAUGGAGGAGGCAGCCCCGUGCAUGGUCUUGGCUACCCGCAGCGAGCCAGCGGCAACCCACACCCUCUCCGCUCUGCAACUGCGGAAGGGGGUAAAACGCGGAGAAACCACUUAUCUUGCUGCAAUCCGCGAGGUGAGCGAAGAAGACCUCGAGGAGGAGGACCAUCCAGCGGUGAUCGAUGCUGUCCUGGGGGAGUUCAAGGACGUAAUGCCCCAGGAGUUGCCCAAAAGACUUCCACCCAGGCGGGAGGUGGACCAUGCGAUCGAGCUCGAGCCAGGAGCAAAGCCACCAGCAAAGGCACCAUACCGCAUGGCCCCGCCAGAGCUCGAGGAGUUGCAGCGUCAACUGAAGGACCUCCUCGAUGCGGGCUUCAUCAGGCCGUCGAAGGCACCCUACGGAGCACCAGUCUUGUUCCAAAGGAAGAGCGACGGAAGCCUGCGGCUCUGUAUUGACUACAGAGCGCUCAACAAGGUGACGGUAAAGAACAAGUACCCUAUUCCCCUUGUUGCUGACUUGUUUGACCAGCUUGGCGGAGCGAAGUUCUUCACCAAAUUGGACCUUCGCUCGGGGUACUACCAAGUCAGGAUCGCGGAGGGCGAUGAGGAGAAAACGGCAUGUGUGACGAGGUAUGGAGCCUACGAGUUCCUCGUCAUGCCAUUCGGCCUGACGAAUGCGCCGGCGACCUUCUGCACCCUGAUGAACAAGCUAUUCCACCCCUACCUCGAUCGCUUCGUGGUAGUGUACCUCGACGACAUCGUCGUGUACAGCAACACUCUGGAGGAGCACGUCGAGCAUCUGCGGACGAUCUUCCAAGUGCUGCGGGAGAACCAACUCUAUGUCAAAAGGGAGAAGUGCUCCUUUGCGAAGGAGGAGGUGCACUUCCUUGGCCACUGGAUCGGCCGAGGACAACUCCAUAUGGACCAGCAGAAAGUGCGGGCGAUCUGCGAGUGGGAAGCGCCCACGACGGUGUCCGAGCUGCGAUCCUUUCUCGGACUCGUCAACUACUAUCGCCGCUUCAUCGCGGGCUACUCUGCUCGAGCGGCCCCUUUGACGGAUCUGCUGAAGAAGACCCAGUCAUGGGACUGGACCCCUCGAUGCGCGGAGGCAUUCGAGGACUUAAAGCGGGCGGUGACGGAGGAUCCGGUGUUGCGGCUUCCCGACUGCAGCCGUCCAUUCGAGGUACAUACUGACGCCUCGGACUUUGCCAUUGGUGGUGUUCUCGUGCAGGACGGACACCCCAUCGCCUAUGAGAGCCGCAAGCUCAACGACACCGAGCGGCGGUACACGGUGCAGGAGAAGGAGAUGACCGCUGUGGUGCACUGCCUCAGGACCUGGCGGCACUAUCUCCUUGGAAGCAAGUUCGUUGUGCGGACGGACAAUGUCGCGACGAGCUACUUCCUUACUCAGAAGAAGCUGUCACCCAAGCAGGCGAGGUGGCAGGACUUCCUGGCGGAGUUCGACAUGGAGCUCUUGUACAAACCCGGGAAGGAGAACCAAGUGGCUGACGCACUCAGCCGCAAGGCGGAACUGGCAGCGGUGUGCCAGAUCCAAGGCGCGAUCAGGGAGCGAAUCCGCGAAGGGACUUGCGAAGACCCUGUGGCCCAAGGACUCGUGCGACUCGUCAAGGAGGGCAAGGCGCAGCGGUUCUGGCUUAGCGAUGGGCUGCUCCUCACCAAGGGGCGUCGCGUCUAUGUGCCCAGGUGGGGCAAUCUUCGUCGCGAGCUCAUGAAGGAGUGUCAUGACUCCAAUUGGGCCGGACAUCCAGGACAGAAGCGGACGAUGGCGCUACUCGAGGCCGCCUACUAUUGGCCUCGCAUGCACGACGACGUGGAGGCGUACGUGCGGACUUGCCUUGUGUGCCAGCAAGACAAGGUGGAGCGCCAAAGUCCUGGGGGCCUCCUCGAGCCCCUGCCUACACCGACGCGUCCGUGGGAGAGCAUUUCCAUGGACUUCAUCUCCGCCUUGCCCAAGGUGGGGACGUUGGGGUCCAUCCUCGUGGUGGUGGACCGAUUCUCCAAGUACGGGACUUUCAUCGCGGCACCAGCGGAUUGCACGGCGGAAGAAGCGGCGCGGCUCUUCGUCAGCAAUGUGGUGAAGCUUUGGGGCAUCCCCGAAAGCAUUGUGAGUGACCGAGACCCUAGGUUUACGGGCAAGUUCUGGACAGAGGUGUUCCGGAUCUUGGGGUCGGAGUUGCUCUUUUCCACCAGUUUUCACCCACAGACGGACGGCCAGACGGAGCGGGUGAAUGCCUUACUGGAGGAGUACCUGCGGCACUAUGUCAGUGCCAACCAGAAGGAUUGGGUGCAUCAUCUGGACGUGGCCCAGUUCUCCUACAACCUGCGGCGGAGCGAGUCAACCAACCUCAGCCCGUUCGAGCUGGCAACGGGGAGGCAACCACUCACUCCGCAUUCUGCUGCUGCGGGCGAGCAGGGCCGCAGCCCAAUGGCUCUCCAAUUCACUUCUCAUUUGCAGGAGAAGGGGGACAUUGCGAGAGCCUAUCUCGAGAAGGCGGCCUGCCGAAUGAAAAAGUGGGCCGAUGCAAAGCGGCGACCCUUGGAGUUUGCCGAGGGAGAUCGAGUGCUGAUCAAGCUGCAACCUCAACAAUUCAAGGCUUUUCGCAAAGUGCACCGUGGGCUUUUGCGAAAGUAUGAGGACCUUUCACUGUCAUCAAGCGAGCGGGCAAGGCAGCCUACAAACUGCAGCUCCCGGCCAACCUGAAAUCCAUCCUGUCUUUCAUGCUAGUUGCCUGCGACCCUACCAUGUAGACGCUGAGGACCCGAGCCGGGGCGUGUCGCAGCGCGCUCCCGCCACUAUGACCACUGCAAUCGACAAGGAGGUCGAAGCCUUGCUGGACACUCGCACCAUUAGGCGUCGCGGAGUCCCGAGGAGCGUCGAGUACCUUGUCAAGUGGAAGAAUCUCCUGCAUGGCGAGAUAAGCUAGGAGAAGGCUGACACUCUCUGGAAGUAUCAGAAGCUGAUCGAUGACUUCCAACACCAGCGCGCAAUAGGUGGGGGAGAUUGUCACGGCACAAAGAUUUUCUCCGCGAUUUCGCUUUGCAAUCACCCAAACUCCAAAGCGGACAUCUGACGGAGGUUUUGGCUUGGAACUUUCUUGAAGCUUCUACGCGGAUCUCGAGACUGAUGGUGCGGAUACCGGAGGGUCAAGAGUCCCUUAGAGUUUCUAGGUAGUCAAUAAAUGUAUGACUCUUCGAGUCUCGAUGCUAUUUAUUAAGACUCUUGGGAGACCGCGUGGCCUCUCCUUUUGGCUAGUAGUAUUGUGCCACUUGGCACCUUUUCAUUGGUAUUGUGGGCGGCGAGUGGCCUAUAUAUAGUGUGGCCUCCACCCCUCUCAUUUCAGAAUCUCAUAUUGUAUUCUCAACCUUAAAGUAAUAGAAGAGCUUUCUUCUUAUAUCUCUCUUGUACUUAGUCUAGGGCGAGUGAGGUCCUAACUUAGCAAGUAGAGAGGCAGGCUUGCUCACUUCGCGGAGGAAGGCGAGCGCCACACGGAUUUUGCGAGCAAAUUCGUUUAGUCCGUGAAAUAGGGCUUGCUUUAAAGCAAACCCUAGAGGUAAGUCUAAACCCUAAACAUGAGAUUUCUAGGGUUUGUAGCUUUUUGUUGGUUUUGAUUGUUCAAAUGGAACCUAAUGAGCUUAGAAAACAUGGAUUUAGCUCAUAAUGAAGCUAGAAACCAUUGCUUCCCAUGGGUGCUAAACCUAAGGCUUGAUUUUGGGAUUUUUGAAAAUAUGAGGGAUUGAUCUCUUUUGAUGGGUUAGAAACCUAAUUUCUAUGCUCCCGAACGCGUAGGCGAAGACGGUUCGUCGAUCCGUCGAGCGAGUGCGGAGAUAUAGCCGAUUUGGGUGCUCUAGGGUUCGUUUUGACCCAAGGUGUUGAAGCGGCGCACGUGAACCGCGAUGCCAAGUUUCUUAGCUCUACAGUACUACCACGAGGUGGGUGGUGAUCAUCCCGAAGCAAUCGGGCUACCUUCUAUGUCUAAGUUUUAAAAGUUGAUCCAAUUGCAUAUUGUGCAUAUUCAUAUAGGGCUAGAGAUGGACUGUUGCUUAUAAUUGCAUGCUAGUAGCUUAAUGUAUCUUGCUUAGUUGGUUCAUGAUCUAGUAUGCAUGAUGAUUAUAUGAUGAAAACUCUAUGAUAAAGACCUAGACCCUAUGUGAGAUGAUUAAUACUUAUGUUGCUAAAGAACUAGUAUGAUGUAACUAGUGUUGAUGAUGAGUCUAAAUGACGAGUGGCAUCUAGUUAGAAAACUAUGAUGAGUGGCAUAUGAUUGUUGAUGACCUUGAUAUGAGAACAUUAGUGUAGUUGAGACACUAUGAGAUUGGGUACAAGUAUACCUUGAUUCCAUCAUGAGAUUACCCUUAGAGGGUAGGUUGCUGCUGUUCGUGAGUUGAUCGUGCUCACAUAGCCUGUCUGCGCUUGGAGGGGUCGCUCCCCACAAGCUGUGCACUCCGGAGGUUGGUCACUAGAGAGACAGUCAGUGUGCUGUCUGGACGGUCAGUGUGCUGUCCGCAGGCGGUCUCGGGGAGUAGUUCAGUGAGACUUUCCCUAUGAGAUUUACACGUGAGUUAUGCUUGUGAACCACGAGUUCACCUCGAGAUUUGGUUACCUAUUGAGUCAUGCUCAUUAUUAUUGCUCAUGAUAGCUAGCUUUCAUAGUUGUUGUUGUUGUUCAUAGUUGCUUACUUACCCAGCUUUACUUAUUGUUCAUGCAUCCAUGAUAUCAGAUUGAGGCAUAGCUUGAUAGACCUGUUUUACAUACCCGCUUUCAGUUCAGUUUAGCUUUAUAUAUACUGCAUAUAUAUAUCUCUCUAUGCCUGCUUAAGACCUAGUGGGUAGAUCGGCGGAGUCGGCGGCCGAACCCACUGGGAACUAUUCGUAGUUCUCACACCCCACGUUGCAGGUGCUAGUUCGAGCGUCCCGACCGAGCGGGAGGAUCGCGACAAGGGCUUGGCGCCCUAGCGGUAUCAGUUGAUAGCUUACUCUCCUACUUGCACUAAUUCGCCCUGCUUUUACAUUUUGAGAGUAGAUGUUGUAUAGGGUGAGAUUUUGGAGAGCAUAUGAUGUAUUUACAUUUUGGAAAAGAAUGCAAGUUGUAUUAAAUGAUUAAAAUUUUAAUGAUAUCGAAAUAGGUUAAAUGUCUCAAAUAGUUAAGUUUCUCUCUUUUGAAUACUUGUAUACCGUUUACUUGUAUCGCUUGCUCUUGUUGAUAAAUAGCACUGUUUGUGCUCUCGAUUAUCGUUGUUUGAUUGUGUAUGAAUUCAAGUUGUAU
rnacentral:lncRNA from 1 species